CUGCUUCGGCAGCAUAUAUACUGAAAAUGGAAUGACACAGGGAAGAUUAACAUGGCCCCUGUGCAAGGAUGACACACAAAUUCAUGAAGCAUUCCAUAUUUUU
ensembl:snRNA U6 U6 spliceosomal RNA